rnacentral:rRNA from 1 species
GUAAACGGCGGCCGUAACUAUAACGGUCCUAAGGUAGCGAAAUUCCUUGUCGGGUAAGUUCCGACCUGCACGAAUGGCGUAAUGAUGGCCAGGCUGUCUCCACCCGAGACUCAGUGAAAUUGAACUCGCUGUGAAGAUGCAGUGUACCCGCGGCAAGACGGAAAGACCCCGUGAACCUUUACUAUAGCUUGACACUGAACAUUGAGCCUUGAUGUGUAGGAUAGGUGGGAGGCUUUGAAGUGUGGACGCCAGUCUGCAUGGAGCCGACCUUGAAAUACCACCCUUUAAUGUUUGAUGUUCUAACGUUGGCCCGUAAUCCGGGUUGCGGACAGUGUCUGGUGGGUAGUUUGACUGGGGCGGUCUCCUCCUAAAGAGUAACGGAGGAGCACGAAGGUUGGCUAAUCCUGGUCGGACAUCAGGAGGUUAGUGCAAUGGCAUAAGCCAGCUUGACUGCGAGCGUGACGGCGCGAGCAGGUGCGAAAGCAGGUCAUAGUGAUCCGGUGGUUCUGAAUGGAAGGGCCAUCGCUCAACGGAUAAAAGGUACUCCGGGGAUAACAGGCUGAUACCGCCCAAGAGUUCAUAUCGACGGCGGUGUUUGGCACCUCGAUGUCGGCUCAUCACAUCCUGGGGCUGAAGUAGGUCCCAAGGGUAUGGCUGUUCGCCAUUUAAAGUGGUACGCGAGCUGGGUUUAGAACGUCGUGAGACAGUUCGGUCCCUAUCUGCCGUGGGCG